GAGUUUGAUCCUGGCUCAGGAUGAACGCUGGCGGCGUGCUUAACACAUGCAAGUCGAACGGGGAUGGCCCGCCGAGGAAGCUUCGGCCGAAUCAUGGGACAUCUUAGUGGCGGACGGGUGAGUAACGCGUGGGCAACCUGCCCUGUACAGGGGGAUAACACUUAGAAAUAGGUGCUAAAACCGCAUAAGCGCACAGCUUCGCAUGAAGAAGUGUGAAAAACUCCGGUGGUACAGGAUGGACCCGCGUCUGAUUAGCUGGUUGGAGGGGUAACGGCCCACCAAGGCGACGAUCAGUAGCCGGCCUGAGAGGGUGAACGGCCACAUUGGGACUGAGACACGGCCCAAACUCCUACGGGAGGCAGCAGUGGGGAAUAUUGCACAAUGGGGGAAACCCUGAUGCAGCGACGCCGCGUGAGUGAAGAAGUAUUUCGGUAUGUAAAGCUCUAUCAGCAGGGAAGAAAAUGACGGUACCUGAGUAAGCAGCCCCGGCUAACUACGUGCCAGCAGCCGCGGUAAUACGUAGGGGGCAAGCGUUAUCCGGAUUUACUGGGUGUAAAGGGAGCGUAGACGGUUAUGCAAGUCUGAAGUGAAAUGCCAGUGCUCAACACUGGAACUGCUUUGGAAACUGUGUAACUGGAGUGCAGGAGAGGUAAGUGGAAUUCCUAGUGUAGCGGUGAAAUGCGU
rnacentral:rRNA from 1 species